ensembl:snoRNA SNORA72 Small nucleolar RNA SNORA72
CUGUGAAUAUUCUUGCUGUUCUGAUUGUGUCAUAAUCAGGGCAGGCUAAAAAUUUGCUAUAGCAAGACCAUGCAUGUGUCCCCACACCUAGAUCUUUCCCUAGGUCUGGUUUUAUAAAUGCUGGUGAUAAAC